CUGCGACAGAAUAUCGAAUUUUCUCACAUUUUGACGAAAAAGUCUUACGGAAAUCAUCAAAAUGCUGGGUCCUUUAGCUCGUUCUUCUAACAAACUUGGAAGGAAUGUUAUGACAAAUUUCAUCAGAAACCACUCUCAUGGUGGAGUCCCUGGCGAGAAUCUGCCAUUUGACAUCUCCAACCGGUACAAGCUGACAGCUUUGUUCAUGGUAUAUGUCGGUUCAGGUCUUUCUGCACCAUUCCUCAUUUGCCGCCAUCAACUUCUCAAGAAGUAAAUAGUAACAUUGCUUUGCAUCGGCUAAAGAAUGUUUUAGGUAUAAGCUAGCAAUCUGUGAAUUAAAUUAUAAUAUAAUGUUAUAAAUUA